GUAUCGGACCUUUAGAAUCUCUCCUUUCUUCCUUAUCUCUGGGGGCCUUCGUGCCGCCAUGGUUAAGUGUCGCCACCCAAAACCUUAUCUUCCUUUCUCUAUGUUUUCUCCAUUUAGAGUGUUGCCACCAUAAAGCUCGCCGGAAGCCGUUAUCUCCAACCAAGCUUCACUAUCUCUGCCAUCUUUGGUAACCCCCUCAUCCUCUUGUUGUCCUUUUGGCCGAGGAAGCUGCCAUCCAGGGUAGCUAGGGGCACUGCCCCUCUCCUCUCUUGCGCUAUUUUCUGUGCAGACAGCUGAAGUGCCAUUGCAUAGCAAGGGUCUCGGCGACCUCGCCAUAAGCCAUGCUGCCCUCCCUCUUCCUCAGUUCACCCUAUAUAUGAGGGUCUUUGAUGACCAGACUUAGACCUCGAGUUACCAAGGACCUAGGCGUCCUAUUCCUCCCCUUAUUUUGUCUAUCUCCACCUUCCUCCACCAUCACCAACUACCACCCGUUGAGCAUUGCCCGCCGCCACCGGUCCCUCUGCCACCGUCACAACCCGACUUCCAUUUCCUUCUCCCAGCCUCUUCCCUUCACCCUCUUCCUCUUUCCCCUUCAUC
rnacentral:lncRNA from 1 species